CCUAGGUAAUAUAUUUCACUUACUGUUACAAAGCGAUUCCUGUUUCGUUGUGUGAAUCAACAUAAGGAGAAAUAAAGCGCCGAACAAGCGGAUCUCCUUUGUCCUGUCGCUCGCCAUUCUUUGCAGCGGUGUCUGUGCAGGUGUUUAUGUAACCUGAGUAUCAGGCCCUCGGUAUUGAAGAGACCAAACCUCUUGAAGAGACCUCUUUCAAUACCAAGGGCCUGAUACUCAGG